UACAGAGGUCUCAAGCGUUGUUCGGAUUCAUUGGGCGUAAAGGGUGCGUAGGCGGCGCGGUAAGUCGGGUGUGAAAUUUCGAGGCUUAACUUCGAAACUGCAUUCGAUACUGCCGUGCUAGAGGACUGGAGAGGAGACUGGAAUUUACGGUGUAGCGGUGAAAUGCGUAGAUAUCGUAAGGAAGACCAGUGGCGAAGGCGGGUCUCUGGACAGUUCCUGACGCUGAGGCACGAAGGCCCAGGGGGAGCAAAACGGG
rnacentral:rRNA from 1 species